UGUUUUGGGUGAAAAUGGUGCGAGGUAAGUAUUUUCGUGGUACUUCAGGAAUUAAUGCCUUGCUUUCUAAACCAAAUGGUUCGGUUAUAUGGAUUGGCUUGGUAUGUAUUGCUCAUCUUUUGCACAAGGGUUCUUUUAUUGCAAUUGGCAACAAUCAUGUAACCAGCUUCUAGCAUGAUUUAUGGGUGGGUGAUUGCCUGCUAACCGAACAUGUCGUGCUACCUAUUCUUGUGCAUCUUUAUCAUGCCACAGUGACCCAAAUGUGGAAUCGUACAUAAUGGUGCUGGGAGUUGUUUUCAUCAUAUUUACCUACUAAUUGUUGUGCACUCUUGGAGGCGACGGUGGUGUAUAGUGGGUUGAACUCUCAUGAACAGCUUACAUGGAAGGGAUCUGCCAUGGGUAAGUUUUAUGUAAAAUUCGUAUUUCUUAUGCAAAAG
rnacentral:lncRNA from 1 species